rnacentral:rRNA from 1 species
GAGUUUGAUCUUGGCUCAGGACGAACGCUGGCGGCGUGCUUAACACAUGCAAGUCGAACGGUGAGGCUCCAGCUUGCUGGGGUACACGAGUGGCGAACGGGUGAGUAACACGUGGGUGACCUGCCCCUGCACUUCGGGGAUAAGCCUGGGAAACUGGGUCUAAUACCGGAUAGGACCGCACCGUGAGGGUGUGGUGGAAAAGUUUUUUCGGUGUGGGA